AUUGAACGCUGGCGGCAUGCCUUACACAUGCAAGUCGAACGGCAGCACGGGUGCUUGCACCUGGUGGCGAGUGGCGAACGGGUGAGUAAUACAUCGGAACAUGUCCUGUAGUGGGGGAUAGCCCGGCGAAAGCCGGAUUAAUACCGCAUACGAUCUACGGAUGAAAGCGGGGGACCUUCGGGCCUCGCGCUAUAGGGUUGGCCGAUGGCUGAUUAGCUAGUUGGUGGGGUAAAGGCCUACCAAGGCGACGAUCAGUAGCUGGUCUGAGAGGACGACCAGCCACACUAGGACUGAGACACGGCCCAGACUCCUACGGGAGGCAGCAGUGGGGAAUUUUGGACAAAGGGCGAAAGCCUGAUCCAGCAAUGCCGCGUGUGUGAAGAAGGCCUUCGGGUUGUAAAGCACUUUUGUCCGGAAAGAAAUCCUUGGCCCUAAUACGGUCGGGGGAUGACGGUACCGGAAGAAUAAGCACCGGCUAACUACGUG
rnacentral:rRNA from 1 species